rnacentral:rRNA from 1 species
GCGUUAACGAACGAGACCUUAACCUGCUAAAUAGUUAGGCCAACGUUUGUUGGUCGUCAACUUCUUAGAGGGACUAUCGGUGCGCAGCCGAUGGAAGUUCGAGGCAAUAACAGGUCUGUGAUGCCCUUAGAUGUUCUGGGCCGCACGCGCGCUACACUGACGGGUUCAUCGAGCUAAGCGUUUGUUACCUUGACUGACAGGUCUGGGGAAUCUUUGGAAUGCCCGUCGUGCUGGGGAUAGACCCUUGGAAUUAUGGAUCUUGAACGAGGAAUUCCUAGUAAACGCAAGUCAUCAGCUUGCAUUGAUUACGUCCCUGCCCUUUGUACACACCGCCCGUCGCUAAUACCGAUUGAAUGGAUA